GAUGAACGCUGGCGGCGUGCCUAAUACAUGCAAGUCGAGCGAACAGACGAGGAGCUUGCUCCUCUGACGUUAGCGGCGGACGGGUGCGUAACACGUGGAUAACCUACCUAUAAGACUGGGAUAACUUCGGGAAACCGGAGCUAAUACCGGAUAAUAUAUUGAACCGCAUGGUUCAAUAGUGAAAGACGGUUUUGCUGUCACUUAUAGAUGGAUCCGCGCCGCAUUAGCUAGUUGGUAAGGUAACGGCUUACCAAGGCAACGAUGCGUAGCCGACCUGAGAGGGUGAUCGGCCACACUGGAACUGAGACACGGUCCAGACUCCUACGGGAGGCAGCAGUAGGGAAUCUUCCGCAAUGGGCGAAAGCCUGACGGAGCAACGCCGCGUGAGUGAUGAAGGUCUUCGGAUCGUAAAACUCUGUUAUUAGGGAAGAACAAAUGUGUAAGUAACUAUGCACGUCUUGACGGUACCUAAGCAGAAAGCCACGGCUAACUACGU
rnacentral:rRNA from 1 species